UGUGAAAAAUAAAUUGCUCCUGUUGUGAACUCAAAGGUGCAACGUUGGGCUGUUUCGAAAAGAGUUGUCUUAAGAGUUUCCAUGUUCCCCUUGCAAAAUUAGUCUCACAAUACCGGUGGCAUAUACUUCAUUUGCCAGUUCACAACAAGGAAUAUCCUACAAGCGAAGAAGUCAGUAUGCAGAAGAACAUGAAUAUUUGUGAAUCGCUCGACAAAUUGGUUCUCUGUUGCUCAUCUCUCAUAGUUGAAGAAAAUAAAUCCAAAGGUGAGGAGACUGGCGAGCACACUCUAGCAAUGGUUAAGGUAGAGAAAGGACUAGAAUCACCACUUCACAAUGAGAAAUAGUUGUCUAUCCAGCUAAAGCUAGAACUAGCAUAUGACACAAACCUGUACAAGGCUUCUCACCUGGUCAACAAUACGAAGGAAGAGAUACCGUUUUAUUCCAUGCCGGAUUACCAUUCUUGGAAGGAAAGUUUGGAUGGU